rnacentral:lncRNA from 1 species
UAAAUGUAUAUUUGUAUUCCGAACGAGAAAGAAAGAGAAAGAGUAAGAAAGGAAAUUAUAUCCAACGAGUAGAGAGAAGUCGAUGCAUAACUAGUGGAAAGAAGAAGAAGAAGAAGAAGAAGAUGAAGAAGAAGAAGAGGUAGGCAAGAAAAGCGGCAGGAACGAAGAUUGCAAGAGUAGAGAAGACAAACGCGGAGCGAAAGGAAUAAAUUGCAUUAAGUCGUUCCACCUAAAAUAGGCUUGGCCUACACAUCCGCCCUUGUAGUAGCAAUAUAAAUUAAAUUAUAUCUUCUACGCGUUAGUAAAUAUUAUCCUAUAUAUAGGAAAAGAAGUUUCGAUGUCAUUGGGGGAUUGGUAUUAAAAAAAACAAAACGAUAAAAAUAAAGAAGAAAAACAGGAGAAGAAAAAAAAAUGAUAAAGAGAAGUUGAUGUGCGCUGGUGAUUUGGUUAGCGAUGGUAAAAGGAGUCAUAGUAGAAACUCGAAGCCAUUCUCAUAAGCCUUCUCUCUAUCUCUCUCUCUCUCUCUCUCUCUCUCUCUCUCUCUUCUUCCAUUUCUUUCUAUCUUUUUCUUUUAGGCGUACAUUGCGCAGCGACGGGUGAGCCAGCAGUUAGAGGGACGGGAGGGCCGUGUGGCACCGAUGCAUUUUGGGACUAUUCCGCGGAGUUGGAGCGGUGGCUUGCUACGGGGCGGAGCCGGGAGGGGCACCGAGUCGCGGGGCCCUAGCAACGAGAGGAAGACGCCUAGCAACGCGCGUUCCCUCCUCUCACCGCGUUCUUCUCCUCUCUCUCUCUCUCUCUCUCUUUCGUCCAACCGAGUCUUCGUGUGUCAAGAGAAAGAGAAAGAAAAAGAGAAAGAGAGAAAGAAGGAGAGAAACGAGAACCUAGCAUGCAUUUUAGGCCCCGAGCCUGCAGCUUGGCCCGGCCAUCGAGCCUCGAACGGGCCCAUCGUGGAACGAAAGAAAGCAGUCUCACCGGAUGGUGGUGGGGGCAGGUAACAGAAGUGAAAGGGGACAUUCUUCGUCUAAGACUAGACACCAUUAGAUCUUCCAGACGGUCGGAACUCCAAAGAAAGAGAAAUAGAGAGAGAGAGAGAGAGAGAGAGAAAGAGAAAAAAAAGAAUAAACGGCCUUGAUAGCUCGGUCGAAACAAACUAACUUAAUCCUAUUGAAUUCUAUCGAAAAAUAUUCUUCUAUCUAUUAUUCAUAAGAUAUUUGAAGUCUUGCCUUGAAUUAAUAAGAAUUUCGUAGAAGAUAUAAUAGCAAUAAUUUUUUUUCAUUUAAUUAAUAAGAGCAUAUUGAUUUUUAUCCAAACACGCAUGUGCAUACAUAUAUAUAUAUAUUACAAUACCAGCAAAGUAAUGAACGUCGAGAGAGUAUCGCGAUAAAAGGCGCGCAGCGGGCCCGCUGCUAUUAGAAAGAGUCUCGUCGAUGUUGCCAGAAGGCCUUAAUUCGCCUGCAAAUUAUGUACGUCGACGGAGAAACGUUGGCGACGCAUUAAAAUCAUUUUAACGACGCGCUCCUUUUCUACAUCUUUUGUUCGGAGCAGCCAAGGUCGACGACAUACGCGCGUGCGCGCUCGUAUACUAACACAUUCUCACACAUUCGCACAUAGCGAGAGAAAGAAAAAGAGGAGAAACGAAGAAGGGAGUCCGAGCAUUAUUUCGUAAUUCGGAUUACACUAUGAGACCGUUAGGAGUUACAGACGGUCAAAGCACGGCACGCUACAACGACGGCGACGAGGAGAAGGAGGAGGAGGAAGAGGAGGAUCAUCAUCAUCGCAACCUUGACUUCUCGUUCCUAACGCUCUUACCAACAAUAGACGUUUGAAUCUUCGCGCUGGCUUUUUAUUAUUCUGAACAGAUUGCGCAACACGACGUCCUUUCGAUUUUGGCGCGCCGAGAUAAAACGAGUCGCCGGAAGUCUACCUAUCGAGAAACGAGUUUUUCUUUUCUUUACUUGUUGUCUCCUUUUUGUGUCCAUUUUAAGUGGCCAUAACUAUUUUUCUAACUCUAGCAUGAAGUCAUCAAGCACGUGGUCUUAUUUUCUGAUAAUCCUAGUUAUACAAAAUGUAAUCAAUUUUUGUCUAUUUCUUCGGGAUCAAAUUUAUUCGAUCGAAAUAGCAACAACGUGCAUUCUAUAUCGAAAAUUAUCGAAAAUCAACGUAAUCGCGUUUAACUCAUUUUCUCCUCGAAAAUAAUCUAUAUAAUCUUAUUUUGAACGAUAUACGUACGGAUGUGUAUACUAUAUUUUUUUCAUUGGUAACUACUUGACAACCUUAGUUCUGUUAGUUUCACGUAUAACGAUUCCUAACGAAUUCGCCGAAAUGUACUUCGACCAGAUGCAUAUAUAAAUGCAGCAAUUACGGUUCGAGCGCAACGUCUAGACGGAUUAAAGUAAACAGGAUGUCUCGUUCCACUCGCAACGAGAGAGCCCCUUCCUAGACGAAACGUUGACACGUAUAUAUGCCAAGCUUUAUCGCUUUGUGGUUACGUUGUCGUCUCGUUCAGAGGGAAGGGCAAAAUUUACAAAAAUGCGUCACAACAUUACGUAAAUUAGAAACUAUCCGAAAUCUUAAACAUAAGCGAAAAUUAUAAAAAUGACCAAAAACCAAAGAGAAACAAUAAUACUUGCUUUUAUAAA